rnacentral:rRNA from 1 species
AGGUUCGUCUCGUUGGUGACAGCGGAGGGAUCAUUACCGAGUUUACAACUCCCAAACCCCUGUGAACAUACCUUUAUGUUGCCUCGGCGGAUCAGCCCGCGCCCCGUAAAACGGGACGGCCCGCCGCAGGAAACCCUAAACUCUGUUUUUAGUGGAACUUCUGAGUAUAAAAAACAAAUAAAUCAAAACUUUCAACAACGGAUCUCUUGGUUCUGGCAUCGAUGAAGAACGCAGCAAAAUGCGAUAAGUAAUGUGAAUUGCAGAAUUCAGUGAAUCAUCGAAUCUUUGAACGCACAUUGCGCCCGCCAGUAUUCUGGCGGGCAUGCCUGUUCGAGCGUCAUUUCAACCCUCAAGCCCAGCUUGGUGUUGGGAUCUAUGUGCAAACACAGUCCCCAAAUUGAUUGGCGGUCACGUCGAGCUUCCAUAGCGUAGUAAUUUACACAUCGUUACUGGUAAUCGUCGCGGCCACGCCGUUAAACCCCAACUUCUGAAUGUUGACCUCGGAUCAGGUAGGAAUACCCGCUGAACUUAAGCAUACAA